rnacentral:rRNA from 1 species
UACGGAGGGAGCUAGCGUUGUUCGGAAUUACUGGGCGUAAAGAGCGCGUAGGCGGUCUUGCAAGUUGGGAGUGAAAUCCCGGGGCUUAACCUCGGAACUGCUUCCAAAACUGUUAGACUAGAGAGCGAUAGAGGAUGGUGGAAUUCCUAGUGUAGAGGUGAAAUUCUUAGAUAUUAGGAGGAACACCGGUGGCGAAGGCGGCCAUCUGGGUCGUUUCUGACGCUGAGGCGCGAAAGCGUGGGGAGCAAACAGG